rnacentral:lncRNA from 1 species
UGUGAUUGAAAUAAUGUUAAAAUACUAUCGAAAAAUAUAUUUUUUUCGAAAGAAUGGGACUCAAACAAAUGCUAAGUUAUACUAGUCACUAGAAAUAAAUUUACAUGUAGCUUUUUCUUUUUUCUAUGUUGUUGCAUCGACCACUAACCACUAUUUUUUUGCUAAUGCGUAUACUUCGUGUCUAAUUCAUAUUUACGGGUGGAUUUAGGAAUUUUUUUAUUAUAUAUCAAGAAAAGAGAAUAAAAAUCAAUAGUUCUCAAGUAAAUAGAAUAGUGUUUUCUUGAAAAAUGAGUGGUUGAAAAAGAAAGAAGAAUUUCGAUUUACGUGUAAUAUUAUUUUAUGGAAGAUUGUGUAGUUGAAAAUAGAAGAGAAAAAAAUAAAAUGUAAUA